CAGCCGCCACGGUAAUACGAAGGGGGCUAGCGUUGCUCGGAAUGACUGGGCGUAAAGGGCGCGUAGGCGGUUUUGACAGUCAGAUGUGAAAUUCCUGGGCUUAACCUGGGGGCUGCAUUUGAGACGUCAAGACUAGAGUGUGAGAGAGGGUUGUGGAAUUCCCAGUGUAGAGGUGAAAUUCGUAGAUAUUGGGAAGAACACCGGUGGCGAAGGCGGCAACCUGGCUCAUUACUGACGCUGAGGCGCGAAAGCGUGGGGAGCAAACAGGAUUAGAUACCCCCGUAGUCCCUGUCUCUUAUAA
rnacentral:rRNA from 1 species